AGCGAACGCUGGCGGCGUGCCUAACACAUGCAAGUCGAACGUGAAAGGGAGCAAUCCCAAGUAAAGUGGCGUACGGGUGAGUAACACGUAGGUAAUCUACCCCAGAAUCUGGAAUAACCGGCCGAAAGGCUGGCUAAUACUGGAUAGAGCGACGGAAUCCGUAAUUGGGUUUUUCGGGAAAGGGAGCCUGUAAAAAGGCCUUCGUUCUGGGAUGAGCCUGCGUCCCAUCAGCUAGUUGGUGAGGUAAAAGCUUACCAAGGCAAUGACGGGUAGCUGGUCUGAGAGGACGAGCAGCCAGACUGGAACUGAAACACGGUCCAGACUCCUACGGGAGGCAGCAGCGGGGAAUCUUGCGCAAUGGACGAAAGUCUGACGCAGCAACGCCGCGUGAGUGAAGAAGGCCUUCGGGUUGUAAAGCUCCGUCGAGUGGGACGAAAAUGCUUGGAGUUCACAACUCCAGGAACUGACGGUACCACUAAAGGUAGCACCGGCUAACUCCGUG
rnacentral:rRNA from 1 species